AGAGUUUGAUCCUGGCUCAGGACGAACGCUGGCGGCGUGCUUAACACAUGCAGGUCGAGCGGUAAGGCUCCUUCGGGAGUACACGAGCGGCGAACGGGUGAGUAACACGUGAGCAACCUGCCCUUCUCAUCGGAAUAAGCGUUGGAAACGACGUCUAAUGCCGAAUACGACCUCAGAAGGCAUCUUCAGAGGUGGAAAGCUCCGGCGGAGAAGGAUGGGCUCGCGGCCUAUCAGCUUGUUGGUGGGGUAACGGCCCACCAAGGCGACGACGGGUAGCCGGCCUGAGAGGGUGACCGGCCACACUGGGACUGAGACACGGCCCAGACUCCUACGGGAGGCAGCAGUGGGGAAUAUUGGACAAUGGGCGAAAGCCUGAUCCAGCAACGCCG
rnacentral:rRNA from 1 species